rnacentral:rRNA from 1 species
UACGAAGGGGGCUAGCGUUGCUCGGAAUCACUGGGCGUAAAGCGCACGUAGGCGGCUUCUCAAGUCAGGGGUGAAAUCUUGGAGCUCAACUCCAGAACUGCCUUUGAUACUGAGGGGCUCGAGUCCGGGAGAGGUGAGUGGAACUGCGAGUGUAGAGGUGAAAUUCGUAGAUAUUCGCAAGAACACCAGUGGCGAAGGCGGCUCACUGGCCCGGUACUGACGCUGAGGUGCGAAAGCGUGGGGAGCAAACAGG